rnacentral:rRNA from 1 species
UACGUAGGGACCAAGCGUUGUUCGGAUUUACUGGGCGUAAAGGGCGCGUAGGCGGCCUUCUAAGUCGAACGUGAAAUCCUCGGGCUCAACCCGGGAACUGCGUCCGAUACUGGAAGGCUUGAAUCCGGGAGAGGGAUGUGGAAUUCCAGGUGUAGCGGUGAAAUGCGUAGAUAUCUGGAGGAACACCGGUGGCGAAGGCGACAUCCUGGACCGGUACUGACGCUGAGGCGCGAAAGCCAGGGGAGCAAACGGG